rnacentral:rRNA from 1 species
AGGCUAGAAGUACUUCCCGGAUUAGCUGAGAGGUGGUGCAUGGCCGUCGUCAGUUCGUACUGUGAAGCAUCCUGUUAAGUCAGGCAACGAGCGAGACCCACGCCCACAGUUGCCAGCGUACUCUCUGGAGUGACGGGUACACUGUGGGGACCGCCGCUGCUAAAGCGGAGGAAGGAAUGGGCAACGGUAGGUCAGUAUGCCCCGAAUAUCCCGGGCUACACGCGAGCUACAAUGGUUGGUACAAUGGGUAUCUACCCCGAAAGGGGACGGGAAUCUCCUAAAACCAAUCUUAGUUCGGAUUGAGGGCUGCAACUCGCCCUCAUGAAGCUGGAAUCCGUAGUAGUCGCGUUUCAACAGAACGCGGUGAAUACGUCCCUGCUCCUU